GUAGCAGGAGACAAGAUGAGGGUAAUCACCGCAACACCUAGACUCAUUUAGAUCAAGUAAACUUACUGAGGCUCCAGAAGAAGGUCUUCAGGACUCCGACCUUAGUUAUAGAUUAAAAGAAGUUACUCACUUGUGUCUUUAGACGAAUGCACACUUACACAUAGACAUAUAGCUUAGAAGGUAUAUAAGCCCUGAAACACUUUCUAAUUUUGAGUUGGUCUGGCGAUAAUUUCCAGACCUUCUCCCUGUAACGGGUGACAGAAAUAAAAACUCUCUUUCUGCCCGGUUCAUCUGCAUCUCGUUACUAGGCCGCGAGAAAUAGCAGCCUGACUUUCGCUUGGUCCUGGAACAAAGUUUGGUACACCAGCCAGGAGGUAAGGAUGGUGCUGUUUUCAGCCGCUGGCAGCCUGUGAGGAGACAGUCUUCAGCAGGAUCUCCCAGCUGCCAGGUGAGGUUUCCCCACGGGACCCUCCAGAGGGCUGUUCCCUGGACAAAUCUGCAUGUCCCUUUCACUGCUGGGGAAGAAUGGAGAUCGGGAGCGGAUGCGCUCAAAGGGAAUCAAACUUGACUUAUGGAGCCAAGAAAGCCCUUGGAAAAACUGGCUUCUCAUUUUGUGGAUGCAGUCCAUGUACAGGGAUUCUGACCUGUGAAUCUUCUCUGUAAUAACCACAAAGUGAGAAUUCUUAAGCAUAUUUCAUAGAAGUGAAGGACAGAGUGUGAAAAAAUUUCAGAAUAAGUGCAAUAUAGGUGGUGAUAACUGUGGUGGUGAUAACUGUGAAGGUAGAGAGCAUUCCUAUCUCUUCCUGAGACUCCAAAAAGGUCACGCUGAUGGAAGAGAUAGACUCCCAUGGCCUUGAGAAGCUCCACCCCUGUGGCUUUGCAGGGUAUCACUCCCCUCCUGGCUGCUUUCAUGGGCUAGUGUUGAGUGUCUGUGGCUUUUCCAGGCAGAUGGUUCAAGCUGUCAAUGGAUCUACCAUUCUGGAGUCUAGAGGCACUUGGAUUGUUUCCAUAUCUUUACUAUUGUGACCAAAGCUGCAAUGAACAUCGCAGUGCAGAUAUCUCUUCAAGAUGCUAGAGAGUGAUUCCAGCUUGCAAGGUGACUGUGGAACAGCUCUGAUGCAGCCUCAGGAAAUUACCCUUCUUGUGGGCUGCAACUACAUCCCCAACAAGAUCUGGCCCCGAUCCUGGAAAACCAAUCAUUAACAGCUUUCAUUUCAGAAAGCCAAGCAAUUUAUAUGGACUCACUCCCAUAAACACAAUUCUGAGUGUCAACCAAUUGAGAACAAUUUUGUUGGAGUAAUCACAUUUUGGCAGCGAAUGUCAACCUACUUAAACUUCUGAAAGGUCACCAAUCCCUGACUUUUAAGCUUCCAAAAAUUCUGGUAUAAAUCCAGCAGCUUGCUCUUUUUAGAGAGGCUAUACCUGACCAGCAUAUCUCUAUUCACUAUAGUAAGCAAUAAGCACAACAUGUUUUUUCUUUCAAAUAUUGAGUGGUGAUUUCUUCAUAAUUUGACAGUAUCAUUUAUCCCAUGGAAGAACAAGUAGUUAUAUAUCUUAUUCUGGAAUUCCUUUUGAGCAUUAGAGCAAUCUUCCCCAAAAACUGCGAACUUAAAAAAAAUAAUAAUAUUCUCUAUUCAACAGUAGGUGGAAAAUCAAACUCAGAAACAUUUUAGCAGAAUUUAUUUUGCUGGGUUUUUUUCCUCCUAAACUUAGCAUUGUUAUCUGGAUACAAUCAAGAUACUUUAUUUCACAGCCAACGUCAUGUAACAACUUUUUGUAACAUUACUCAGCUCGUAGCUUUUCUCUUUCGGAAAAAGUGUUUGGAAAGCAGAAUUAAAAACGAACUUGAGGGCCAGGCGCAGUGGCUCACGCCUGUAAUCCCAACAUUUUGGGAGUCUGAGGCGGGUGGAUCACGAGGUCAGGAGACCGAGACCAUCCUGGCUAAUACAGUGAGACCCCGUCUCUACUAAAAAUACAAAAAAUUAGCCAUGCAUGGUGGCACGUGCCAAGUCCCAGCUACCGGGGAGGCUGAGGCAGGAGAAUCGCUUGAACCUGGGAGGCAGAGGUUGCAGUGAGCCGAGAUUGUGCCACUGCACUCCAGCCUGAGCAACAGAGUGAGACUCCAUCUCAAAAAAUAAAAAAAUAAAAUAAAAAUUAAAAGUCAACAUUUAAAAGACUUGGAUUUUUCUUAGUUUUUUUUUUUUUUUUUUUUUUUUUGGCUUAAUAUAAGUCUUCCUCUCUCUCUCUCUUUUUCUUUCUUUUUUUUUGAGAGGCAGCCUUGGUCUGUCGCCCAGGCUGGAGUGCAGUGGCACCAUCUCGGCUCACUGCAACCUCUGCCUUCUGGGUUUCAGAGAUUCUAGGGCCUCAACCUCCCAAGUAGCUGGGAUUACAAGUGUGCGCCACCAUGCCCAACUAAUUUUUGUAUUUUUAGUAGAGAUGGGUUUCACCAUGUUGGCCAGCCUGGUCUCAAACUCCCAACUUCAAGAGAUCUGCCGGCCUUGGCCUCCGAAAGUGCUAGGAUUACAAGCGUAAGCCACCAGGCCCAGCCUACAUUUUCUUUUAUCUGUGUGUAAAUAUGUUGAUGGUAUAGUGUGCAUAAGGGAAAAUAAGCUUAUUAAAAACUCAAGCUUCAGGGAUAACUGGCUAGGCCUUACUUUUAAAGAAAUAGUUGCACCUUUAACAUUUUCUGCUAUGAUAGAAAAAUAUUAUCCAAUUAAAAUGUAAGCAACCUAAACAUCAUUGAUUACUCUAAAAGAAUUAUAGAAUAGUAAUAUCUUGCCAAUAUCGAUAUUUGUGGUGCUACUCUGUUCUCAUUGCAUUAGCUAUUAGACAAUGUCUUAUAGAGUUCAUGGCCAUUUUCUGCUUAUGAAUGAGAAUAAAUACUUGUGAAAACAUAACGUGUAAGACAUCAGGUAUACAUAUAUUAAAAUAUGUCAGUUGGCGAAAAGUAAUAAUUGUCUUACCAAGGAAAAUUGCCUUUAGAUUUGACUGUGUUCAGCUCUGGUACAAAACAUAACAAACAUUAUGUUUCUACCUUAAUUAAAAAGUAAAUGUGGUUAUUUUAAAAACUGUUUAAAAUUAAAGCCUAUUUUAUAAGAUGUUAUAUGAGACACUGCAUUAUUCCUUAUCAAAUUUAUAAGGCUGUAU
rnacentral:lncRNA from 10 species